CAGUCGCCGCGGGAAAACGAAGGGGGCUAGCGUUGCUCGGAUUUACUGGGCGUAAAGGGCGCGUAGGUGGUUAUUUAAGUCUGAUGUGAAAGCCCCCGGCUCAACCGGGGAGGGUCAUUGGAAACUGGGAAACUUGAGUGCAGAAGAGGAGAGUGGAAUUCCACGUGUAGCGGUGAAAUGCGUAGAGAUGUGGAGGAACACCAGUGGCGAAGGCGACUCUCUGGUCUGUAACUGACGCUGAGGAGCGAAAGCGUGGGGAGCGAACAGGAUUAGAUACCCCGGUAGUCCCUGUCUCUUAUAC
rnacentral:rRNA from 1 species